UACGGGGGGGGCAAGCGUUGUUCGGAAUUACUGGGCGUAAAGGGUGCGUAGGUGGGCAGGUAAGUCAGUGGUGAAAUCUCCGGGCUUAACUCGGAAACUGCCAUUGAUACUAUCUUUCUUGAAUGCCGUGGAGGUCAGCGGAAUAUGUCAUGUAGCGGUGAAAUGCUUAGAUAUGACAUAGAACACCAAUUGCGAAGGCAGCUGGCUACACGAAUAUUGACACUGAUGCACGAAAGCGUGGGGAUCAAACAGG
rnacentral:rRNA from 1 species